UAGGGAAUAUUGCACAAUGGGCGCAAGCCUGAUGCAGCAACGCCGCGUGAGGGACGACGGCCUUCGGGUUGUAAACCUCUUUUAGUAGGGAAGAAGCGAAAGUGACGGUACCUGCAGAAAAAGCACCGGCUAACUACGUGCCAGCAGCCGCGGUAAUACGUAGGGUGCAAGCGUUGUCCGGAAUUAUUGGGCGUAAAGAGCUCGUAGGCGGUUUGUCGCGUCUGCUGUGAAACCCCGAGGCUCAACCUCGGGCCUGCAGUGGGUACGGGCAGACUAGAGUGCGGUAGGGGAGAUUGGAAUUCCUGGUGUAGCGGUGGAAUGCGCAGAUAUCAGGAGGAACACCGAUGGCGAAGGCAGAUCUCUGGGCCGUAACUGACGCUGAGGAGCGAAAGCAUGGGGAGCAAACA
rnacentral:rRNA from 1 species